UUUAAUUCGAAGCAACGCGAAGAACCUUACCAGGUCUUGACAUCCCGCUGACCGCCCUGGAGACAGGGCUUCCCCUUCGGGGGCAGCGGUGACAGGUGGUGCAUGGUUGUUGUCAGCUCGUGUCGUGAGAUGUUGGGUUAAGUCCCGCAACGAGCGCAACCCUUGAUCUUAGUUGCCAGCAUUUAGUUGGGCACUCUAAGGUGACUGCCGGUGACAAACCGGAGGAAGGUGGGGAUGACGUCAAAUCAUCAUGCCCCUUAUGACCUGGGCUACACACGUGCUACAAUGGAUGGUACAAAGGGCUGCAAGACCGCGAGGUUUAGCCAAUCCCAUAAAACCAUUCUCAGUUCGGAUUGCAGGCUGCAACUCGCCUGCAUGAAGCUGGAAUCGCUAGUAAUCGCGGAUCAGCAUGCCG
rnacentral:rRNA from 1 species